rnacentral:rRNA from 1 species
ACUGAACGCUGGCGGAAUGCUUUACACAUGCAAGUCGAACGGCAGCACGGACCUCGGUCUGGGGGCGAGUGGCGGACGGGUGAGUAAUGUAUCGGAACGUGCCCAGUCGUGGGGGAUAACGUAGUGAAAAUUACGCUAAUACCGCAUACGAUCUAUGGAUGAAAGCGGGGGAUCGCAAGACCUCGCGCGAUUGGAGCGGCAGAUAUCAGAUUAGGUAGUUGGUGGGGUAAAGGCCCACCAAGCCAACGAUCUGUAGCUGGUCUGAGAGGACGACCAGCCACACUGGAACUGAGACACGGUCCAGACUCCUACGGGAGGCAGCAGUGGGGAAUUUUGGACAAUGGGCGAAAGCCUGAUCCAGCCAUUCCGCGUGCAGGAUGAAGGCCCUCGGGUUGUAAACUGCUUUUGUACAGAACGAAAAGGUUUCUACUAAUACUAGGAGCUCAUGACGGUACUGUAAGAAUAAGCACCGGCUAACUACGUGCCAGCAGCCGCGGUAA